rnacentral:rRNA from 1 species
UACGUAGGUCCCGAGCGUUGUCCGGAUUUAUUGGGCGUAAAGCGAGCGAAGGUGGUUUAUUAAGUCUGGUGUAAAAGGCAGUGGCUCAACCAUUGUAUGCAUUGGAAACUGGUAGACUUGAGUGCAGGAGAGGAGAGUGGAAUUCCAUGUGUAGCGGUGAAAUGCGUAGAUAUAUGGAGGAACACCGGUGGCGAAAGCGGCUCUCUGGCCUGUAACUGACACUGAGGCUCGAAAGCGUGGGGAGCAAACAGG